rnacentral:rRNA from 1 species
CGGGGUGCACCAGGCGCGAAACCUUCGCAAUGCGCGAAAGCGUGACGAGGCUACCCGGAGUGCUUCCUGAAGAAGGAAGCUGUUGCGAGUGUCUAACGAGCCUCGCGAGUAAGGAGAGGGCAAGGCUGGUGCCAGCCGCCGCGGUAAAACCAGCUCUUCAAGUUGUCGGGACGAUUACUGGGCUUAAAGAGUCCGUAGCCGGUUUAGCAAGUCCUUGGUAAAAUCUGGCAGCCUAACUGUCAGUACGCUAGGGAAACUACUUUACUAGAGGGCGGGAAAGGUCUGGGGUACUUCAGGGGUAGGGGUGGAAUCCUAUAAUCCUUGGGGGACCACCAGUGGCGAAAGCGCCAGACUGGAACGCGCCUGACGGUGAGGGACGAAAGCCAGGGGAGCAAACCGGAUUAGAUACCCGGGUAGUCCUGGCCGUAAACGAUGCGUGCGAGGUGUUGGUGAGGCCACGAGCCGCAUCAGUGCCGUAGGGAAACCGAUAAGCACGCCGCCUGGGGAGUACGGUCGCAAGGCUGAAACUUAAAGGAAUUGGCGGGGGAGCAC